UAGGGGGAGGGAGGAGGCAUGGCUGGUAGUAUGGUAAUAAUUGCACAUACUGCCAGACAUGCCACCUUUCUCACCCUACA
ncrna:Eptesicus fuscus (big brown bat) microRNA efu-mir-9186f precursor (efu-mir-9186f-2)